rnacentral:rRNA from 1 species
UACGUAGGGGGCUAGCGUUGUCCGGAUUUAUUGGGCGUAAAGAGCGUGUAGGCGGCCAUGUAGGUCCGGUGUGAAAACUCGAGGCUCAACCUCGAGAUGUCGGCGGAAACCAUCUGGCUAGAGUCCGGAAGAGGAGAGUGGAAUUCCUGGUGUAGCGGUGAAAUGCGCAGAUAUCAGGAAGAACACCCGUGGCGAAGGCGGCUCUCUGGGACGGUACUGACGCUGAGACGCGAAAGCGUGGGGAGCGAACAGG